GAGUGGUGAAAUUCUCUGGUUUUUAUAUUGAAUGUUUAAAAGAAGUCACAUUGAACAACAUUGAGAAAGAUCUUAAACGAAAACAACUAUCGAGAUUGGAGAAAGCUUAUUGAGAAGUGGUUCUCAAUCUUCGAAGCUGAUCAAUCCAACGAUCCUCAUUAACAUCGGAGGCCCAAUCAGGAGCCGUUCCAGGGAAUGAGAUGGCUCGCAUUGCCUCCAUAACCCUAACGGCAUUCUCCUCCACUAACGGCGAUCUUCUCCGCCGUUCGUCCUCCUCAAACGCUCUACGGAUCUCCGGUCCAGUCUCCGUCUCUGUCUCUUCUUCGCUGUCUGUGUUAUCGUUUAUACUAAUAGAAGAGAUUCCUACCUCUGCAUCCGGAAUCAUACAAUGGCCGUUAGAGAGACCAUCU